UGUCUCUACUGUCUCCUGUGUGCUGCUGUUCAGAUAAGAAGUCUCUACUGUCUCCUGUCUGCUGCUGUUCAGAUAAGAAGUCUCUACUGGUCUCCUGUCUGCUGCUGUUCAGAUAAGAAGUCUCUACUGUCUCCUGUCUGCUGCUGUUCAGAUAAGAAGUCUCUACGGUCUCCUGUCUGCUGCUGUUCAGAUAAGAAGUCUCUACUGUCUCCUGUCUGCUGCUGUUCAGAUAAGAAGUCUCUACGGUCUCCUGUCUGCUGCUGUUCAGAUAAGAAGUCUCUACGGUCUCCUGCUGCUGUUCAGAUAAGAAGUCUCUACGGUCUCCUGUCUGCUGCUGUUCAGAUAAGAAGUCUCUACGGUCUCCUGUCUGCUGCUGUUCAGAUAAGAAGUCUCUACGGUCUCCUGUCUCCUGCUGUUCAGAUAAGAAGUCUCUACGGUCUCCUGCUGUGCUGUUCAGAUAAGAAGUCUCUACGGUCUCCUGUCUGCUGCUGUUCAGAUAAGAAGUCUCUACGGUCUCCUGUCUCCUGCUGUUCAGAUAAGAAGUCUCUACGGUCUCCUGCUGUUCAGAAAAGGCCCUUGUCAUCAGCUCAUCUGCAUGAUGCACCAACCAGUAUGACAUCAUCAUCAACAACACACUAACCCGAGUGCCAAGACAACCUCUACCUUUGAAACUUCCCACUAGAACCACAACUAAACAAAAAAUGCUGUUUCCUUUGACUGAAUUGCCAGGAGUUCUUCAUCAGGGGUUGUAUGUUUCAAGCAUUUCAGAAUACGGGUGCUGGUCUAGGAUCAGGAACUCCCUGUAGUUAUUAUAACCGUCUUCAUUAUGACCUGAGAGGCAAAACUGAUCCUAGAUCAGCACUUCUACUCAGACAUUUUGGGAAUACAGGCCUUGAAUGCUAUUUCCACCAUCACAAUGCUUAGAGAUGUUUCAUUAAGAUGCAACAUGAUCUCCAAGAGAUGAGUGUCACAGUAGAUACACAUCUGUGCUGUUCUAUUCUUGCAGUAUUAACUAUCAAGCUAUAUCUUCUAUAUGAUAACACGUGAGCUUCUUUGAUUCCAAUAUAGACAUGGCCUAUCUUAAAAAGGUACUGUAGUGUGUAGGAUCAAUCUGAGUUUUGUGUAAGUGAUGGAUUGGGCUGUACUAGCUCUGGUCCAGGGUGUUAGUACAGCUACCUCCAGGUAGUCUCUGGUCCAGGGUGUUAGUACAGCUACCUUCAGGUAGUCUCUGGUCCAGGGUGUUAGUACAGCUACCUUCAGGUAGUCUCUGGUCCAGGGUGUUAGUACAGCUACCUUCAGGUAGUCUCUGGUCCAGGGUGUUAGUACAGCUACCUUCAGGUAGUCUCUGGUCCAGGGUGUUAGUACAGCUACCUUCAGGUAGUCUCUGGUCCAGGGUGUUAGUACAGCUACCUUCAGGUAGUCUCUUGUCCAGAGUGUUAGUGUGGCCUGCUGAAGUCUCAGCAGGGUGCAUGUUAACUCCAUGGACCAGAGUGUUAGUAUGGCCUGCUGAAGUCUCAGCACGGUGCAUGUUAACUCCAUGGACCAGAGUGUUAGUGCAGCCUGCUGAAGUCUCAGCACGGUGCAUGUUAACUCCAUGGACCAGAGUGUUAG